rnacentral:rRNA from 1 species
AUUGAACGCUGGCGGCAUGCCUUACACAUGCAAGUCGAACGGCAGCACGGGGGCAACCCUGGUGGCGAGUGGCGAACGGGUGAGUGAUACAUCGGAAUGUACCCAGUAGUGGGGGAUAACUAGUCGAAAGAUUAGCUAAUACCGCAUACGCACUAUGGUGGAAAGCGGGGGAUCGCAAGACCUCGCGCUAUUGGAGCAGCCGAUGUCCGAUUAGGUAGUUGGUGGGGUAAAAAGCCUACCAAGCCUGCGAUCGGUAACUGGUCUGAGAGGACGACCAGUCACACUGGGACUGAGACACGGCCCAGACUCCUACGGGAGGCAGCAGUGGGGAAUUUUGGACAAUGGGGGAAACCCUGAUCCAGCAAUGCCGCGUGUGUGAAGAAGGCCUUCGGGUUGUAAACUGCUUUGUACGGAACGAAAAAGACUCUCUCUAAUACAGGGGUGGAAUGACGGUACCGUAAGAAUAAGCACCGGCUAACUACGUGCCAGCAGCCGCGGUAA